AAAUUGAAGAGUUUGAUCAUGGCUCAGAUUGAACGCUGGCGGCAGGCCUAACACAUGCAAGUCGAACGGUAACAGGAAGCAGCUUGCUGCUUUGCUGACGAGUGGCGGACGGGUGAGUAAUGUCUGGGAAACUGCCCGAUGGAGGGGGAUAACUACUGGAAACGGUAGCUAAUACCGCAUAACGUCGCAAGACCAAAGAGGGGGACCUUCGGGCCUCUUGCCAUCGGAUGUGCCCAGAUGGGAUUAGCUAGUAGGUGGGGUAAAGGCUCACCUAGGCGACGAUCCCUAGCUGGUCUGAGAGGAUGACCAGCCACACUGGAACUGAGACACGGUCCAG
rnacentral:rRNA from 1 species